rnacentral:sRNA from 1 species
AUUUUAUAUCUAUCUGCCAGAGACCGCAGGGGCUAAACGCUUAAUCAUCCUGCCGAGGUAAAAUGCUUAUGCAAUUUCUGCCUUUGUGUCUCGCGCGCAAAGGCGUUUUUUA